GACGAACGCUGGCGGCGUGCUUAACACAUGCAAGUCGAACGGAAAGGCCCUGCUUUUGUGGGGUGCUCGAGUGGCGAACUUGUGCUUAACACGUGAGUAACCUGCCCUUGACUUUGGGAUAACUUCAGUUAACUGUGGCUUAUACCUUAUAGGAGCUCCUGCUGCAUGUUGGGGGUUGGAACGUUUCGGCGGUUGGGGAUGGACUCGCGGCUUAUCAGCUUGUUGGUGGGGUAGUGGCUUACCAAGGCUUUGACGGGUAGCCGGCCUGAGAGGGUGACCGGCCACAUUGGGACUGAGAUACGGCCCAGAAUCCUAAGGGAGGCAGCAGUGGGGAAUAUUGCACAAUGGGAGGAAGCCUGAUGCAGCAACGCCGCGUGCGGGAUGACGGCCUUAGGGUUGUAAACCGCUUUCGCCUGUGACGAAGCGUGAGUGACGGUAAUGGGUAAAGAAGCACCGGCUAACUACGUG
rnacentral:rRNA from 1 species